rnacentral:snRNA from 1 species
ACACUUACCUGGCAGGGAAGAUUUGAUGGUCACAAAGGUGGUUUUCCCAGGGCGAGGCUGGCCCAUUGCAUUCUGGAUGUGCUGACCCCUGUGAUUUCCCUAAAUGUGGGAAACUGGACUGCAUACCUUGUGGGCGUGGGGGACUGCAUUCGUGCUCUCCCCUA